rnacentral:rRNA from 1 species
AUUGAACGCUGGCGGCAGGCCUAACACAUGCAAGUCGAGCGAGCGGCGGACGGGUGAGUAAUGUCUGUGAAACUGCCUGUUGGAGGGGGAUAACUACUGGAAACGGUAGCUAAUACCGCAUACCAUCAGAUGUGCCUAGCUGGGAUGAGCUAGUAGGUGGGGUAAUGGCUCACCUAGGCGACGAUCCCUAGCUGGUCUGAGAGGAUGACCAGCCGAACGGAAACUGAGACACGGUCCAGACCCCUACGGGGGGCAGCAGUGGGGAAUAGUGCACAAUGGGCGCAAGCCUGAUGCAGCCAUGCCGCGUGUGUGAAGAAGGCCUUCGGGUUGUAAAGCACUUUCAGCGGGGAGGCGUUACCCGCAGAAGAAGCACCGGCUAACUCCGUGCCAGCAGCCGCGGUAAUUC